GAAAAUUUUAGUUGGUGGAACUACCGUUGCUGAAAGAAGUACUACCUUGCUGGUACCAUAAAGAUGUCGAUAACCAGAGGUGCACAGGUACCCUAUUGAUUCCGGUCGCCAGAGACGCGCUGGCGCAGUGUCGAUGCCGGUCACCAGAGAUGUGCUGGACCCAUUGUGUCAUAGUAAUUAACUGUUUUCAACAAGCAUUGUUCGAUGGGCAUAUCGUCUGCAUUUGCCCUGUAUAGCUGAUGGUAGAGAGCUUUUCCACACCUCGUGCUCAUAACAGAAAAUCCUUGAUGGCCGGACAGACGAACGCUUCAUUCAGGCAAGAAGACAGAGUUUGACAUAAUUGAAAGACGUAGAAAAAGACUCGAUAUCGCCGUGCCGCACGUCUUACACAUAUAUGUUGUUUCCGAUAGCUGACAUUUCGAUGCAUGCCAGAUUCUUUUCAAACACACACGUGAGGAAUAUUUGCAGAAGGAAGAACAAAGUAGAGUGAAUCCACGACAGACCUGGCACAAGCAUAUAAGGAUGACAUCGCCACAGCCGCCCUGACACAAGCAUAGUUAAACAAAUUAGACAUUAGCUGACGUGUAUAUUACUGCACCCCCAUGUACACAGUAUAUGGGGGUAUAUUGGAGUCACGCAUGUCCGUCCGUCCGUUCGUCUGUCCAUCAAUCCGUCCACUGGGAAGAUUUCAUAAAACUGGCAUCGAUUAUUCACCGAUUAUCAAGACAAUGUGCAGAGCGCACAACCCAGGUCAUUAGUUACUCUUGAAGGUCAAAGGUCAAUUAGGUUGACUCCAUGUCCGCUCCAUAUUGUCUAAACGCUUAGAAGAUAUUCAGCAACAAGAUGGGUUAUUGUUCUUGCCGUGGCGUUGGCGUCACUGUAACAAAAUUGAAAUUUUGUUGCAAGCUUUUCAGUGUCACUAUAUCUUCUUCACCGCAGCACCUAUAAGCAUCAAACUUCACGUAAUAGGUGCACACAACUAAUAUUUAAGGGUCAGCCAUCCUGGAUGUAAAGGUCACUGGGGUCAAAUAUUGUAGUAGUGUUAACGUUUUAUGACAAGCUUCUCAUCUUAAUUACUGUCCUUUAAUCA
rnacentral:lncRNA from 1 species